GUUCUUGCGUUGCUAAAAAAAUGUUUAAUGCUCCCUCUGAGGCAAGCUACCCGAAGGGGCAACUGGAACUUAAUGCAAUGCGCUUGGCAGAUGUCUUGUCAGAUGAUUCAAAUUUUCUGUCAUUCAUCAUGAUAAACUUUAUGAGAAGGAUCUGUCAACAAGUUCGUUUGGUUCAUAUGGAAGGACUAUCAGAAACUGUCAGAUGGAUUCUUCUCUCUACUUCAAAGCUGACAAAGUAUCCACAAUUAGCAAGAACUUAUGUAUGCCUGCUUCUAAUACACUAUUGCAUGUAGGUUCACUAUUAAGUCAUGAUUUUUGAAUGAAGAUGAUGUACAACUACUGAGGUAAUUUCAAUGUAUGCUUUCCUUCCAUGCUGAUAUCGGGCAUUAAUUAUUUGUUUGUCCUAUCUUUCUUAGUUUGCAAUUUAGGUAAUGAAACAUUCUCGCACAUGGUCAUUAUGCUGCUUCUUAUAGUUCCUCUUUUUUUUUUAUUUAAUAAACCUGCUUCACUCAACACAUUUAUUCAUUAUGUGCAUUCUGUAGAUAGGUAAUCUUGUUCGUGGGUUAUUUAUAAGUCAUUUUGUGUCCCGGAUCGUUCGUGCUGCAUCUGAAGAUCAUUUAGUCCAUGACUAGCUUCCUAUAUUGGACUCUCAGCCCAGAUGAAAAAAAGAGUCGCCCAAUGCUACAUUUUUUCUGGAAUAAGCUUCAUAAAAAAGGAGUUUUAAUGCAGAAAAGGAAGGUAGGAAGGUAGUUUUCCCAUACGUAUUCGAGGAUUCUGGUAACUCUACAUCAAAUCCUAGUCUUUGAGGAUUCUGGCUCCAGCAUCAGAAGCUCAGGACUAGAUAUCUUUUUAUUAUAAAUAACUUGUCCACUGCAAAUGUUGAGGCUAAAGCUAAAGAGUUUAUUGAAAUUUUGAAUUUUAUACUAUCCCUGGUUAGCGUUGUAUAUAGUUAUAGAGAGGGAGAGAUUUAGCUUGGCACUACAUUCCUUACCUUAAACAGUUCUCUGGAUGGAAUUUACCUUUGGAGUUACUCUUUCUGUUUGGCAUUUUGAAAUAUUUUGAAAUAAAAUUGAAACAUUUGAACAGAGAUAUUGUGCAAGCCAUUUAUGUAAACUGCCAGGUUUGAUUUUUCUACUUACUUUAUUCAUUUUGGAAAGCCGGUUUUUAUUCUUGGUAUUUGUACUAUGUCUAGGUUCUGUUUUAAACAGAACUUGUAAUAUCUAGUGUGGAAGAACUAUCACUGCUGAAAAUUUAGGAACCUGGCUUGGGAAGAUUACUAUUGGGAAGUUCUAAGGGAACGAGUGGUAGAUUCAAAAGCUUUGAUUGUAGAGGUUUCUUUUCGUCUGUUUUGUUUUUGAGUUUACUUCAUAAACACUGGAGUUGGGUUGUCUGAAAUCCUCAUGUUGCAAUAAAUAUUAUUAUCUCAUCUUGUUGAUUCAAAUUUUUUUUCUGACACAUGGAAGUAUAUUAUUUGUUGAAUGCUUUUAAGGGACUCAGGCAUGAUGCCUGUUAAUUCUUUUACCUCAAAGGUACGAUCCAUGGUUUAUUUUUUAUGUAGUUGCGAGUCCAAGUUUAUUUCAACUCAAAUGUGUUUGUUUUAGAUUUUCAAAGCCUGUUCAAACAGCAUUGCAUACGGGCCUCCUCACCCUUGGGCAGUGGUAAUCUCAAAUUUAAGAUUAAAGUUCUGUUUAAGCAUUUAAGUGUUGACCUCAAGGAUGUCACACCCUCUUCUCUUCUAAAGGAUGUAGUUUGACAAUUUGAAGGAUCAGUCAUUAAGCAUCAGCUUGUUACUCACCUUAUGCUGGGCAUUGCUUUACGAGCUGUUUUAGAUACUUUGAGGAAGCCUGAAGAUUCAAAAGUUUGUUCCUUCCUAGGUUAUCAGUUAAUGUUAUUAUUGUGAAUUUCAGUCUGGCCAUGACUUUAUGACAUUCAGAUGAUUUUCUUUGGGACUAAGGCAUUGGAGCAGUUUGUGGACCGUCUCAUUGGGUGGCCACAGUACCGCAAUCAUAUCCUGCACUUUGUAGCAUUUAUAGAGAGGGCACUUAAUAAGAUUUUAGCUUCUCAUACUGAACCUGAUGUUGGCCAUAGUGUCUAUAUUGAUCACCGACUUGGACUUAUUCAAUCUUCUGAUCCACAUAUGGAGGUAUUAAGCAUAGAGUUGUGUGGCAAUGGAGGCGUUCUGUUCUUAUUCUGGUCAGGCCGUCAUGGACUUAAAGUUAUCGGGCUCAAACAAUAUUUCCUCAUACAUGGAUGCUAUCUCUUUGAAUAAGUGGAUAUAUGUCUUUGAAUAUUACAACUGCUGGUGAAGUUAGCACACCAUUAAAAUUUUAUGUGCUUGUGCUUGGUGUGGUUGUGUGAACAGCCCCUUAUUUUUUAAAGUAAAUCUGAUUUUUUCCGUUGUUGCUUUUGCACUUUUGUGAAGCUGAAAGUGUAUCCUACCUAGAUGAGGUGGCCAGCAACACAGCAACUCAGGAUAUAGCAAAGUUUGUUGGACUCGAGGUUCUUGCGUUGCUAAAAAAUUUGUUUAAUGCUCCCUCUGAGGCAAGCUACCCGAAGGGGCAACUGGAACUUAAUGCAAUGCGCUUGGCAGAUGUCUUCUCAGAUGAUUCAAAUUUUAGGUCAUUCAUCAUGAUAAACUUUGAGCUUGGAAAGGAGUGGACAGAACAACUAGCUUCCUAUAUUGGACUCUCAAACCAAAUGAAAUGCGUGUAUUUGGUGUAUAGUGUGUGGAUCUGUUUAUAGUGUUUGUAAUAUAUGUAUAAUGUGUGUAGUGCAUGUGUUUUCUUAGCAUGCAGUGUGUGUGUUGUGUUUUUGCAUUUGAAGUGCAUGUAUUUCAUGUGUAUGUGUAUGUAUAUGUAGUAUGUGUAUUUUGUGGAUACUAUGUGCAGUCUAUAUGCUUGGUAAAUUUUAUU